CAAGAAAGCCUCUUGUCCCUUCUGAACUGGUUAUAGCUGUAGACUAUGGAGCCCAGAUCACAGGAUAUGAAGCAUUUGGUAUAUGAUCCCCAAUACUGACCUGAAAAGGUGAUUAGGACACAAACUCCUUAUAAAGGAAAGCAAGCUGGAGAAUCACAAUGGAAAAACAACAAGCAGCAGCCCUUAACUGAAUGCAGCAGCAGUUUCCUGAGGCCCUAACAGUUGCUGGUAAAUGCUGUGUGAAAUAUCUUCAAAUCCAUGUUUGUUUUGG